UACGGAGGGGGCUAGCGUUGUUCGGAAUUACUGGGCGUAAAGCGCACGUAGGCGGAUUGGAAAGUCAGAGGUGAAAUCCCAGGGCUCAACCUUGGAACUGCCUUUGAAACUCCCAGUCUUGAGUUCGAGAGAGGUGAGUGGAAUUCCGAGUGUAGCGGUGAAAUGCGUAGAUAUUGGGAGGAACACCAGUGGCGAAGGCGGCUCACUGGACCGGUACUGACGCUGAUGCGCGAAAGCGUGGGGAGCAAACGGG
rnacentral:rRNA from 1 species